rfam:Aspergillus parasiticus ST-1 638, whole genome shotgun sequence.
GGCAAGAUGGCCGAGUGGUCUAAGGCGUACGACUCAAGCGGUACAACUCAAUUGGCAGCUUGUCCUAGACAACUAGGGUUUCUUCGUAUGACGCAAGUCGCGUGGGUUCGAAUCCCACUCUUGUCA